rnacentral:tRNA from 1 species
GCCGCGUUAGUUUACAAAAACAUUAGCCUGUGGAGCUAAAAACGGAAUCAUCAACCCCACGCAGCC